CAAUGAAGGAAGCAUUGCUGUGUGCACGAAAAUUGAAUUUCUUAAGGUCCGCAUGUCUGCUCUCUUUGAUCUUUGACUUGAUUUGAGGGCCUGGUAACGACCUAUAUUU
rfam:Medicago truncatula strain A17 chromosome 3, whole genome shotgun sequence.